GAUUAAGUUAUUAAGGGCGCACGGUGGAUGCCUUGGCACUAGAAGCCGAUGAAGGACGUUACUAACGACGAUAUGCUUUGGGGAGCUGUAAGUAAGCUUUGAUCCAGAGAUUUCCGAAUGGGGAAACCCAGCAU
rnacentral:rRNA from 1 species